GCAAAGAAGCAAGGAGCGCACGAACGAGCGAUCCCCGGCUUUGGAAUCGCUUGCGCAACGGCUCGAGCUCAUACCGGGUACGAGCGGAUGAACUUUUCCGUAUUGGGAAUGCUUAUGAAAUAAUCUACGAGGAGGAUCGGCCGCUUAAAGGUUCGUUCGCGUCUUUCACCAGCUUACAGGACUCGUAAGAAAAAGAGAAAGGAUGAAAUACUAAGUGGUUACGUUCCUUCCGAGGAUACGCCUUUCGUUUCGUUAUCGUUAGGAAGAAUUAGAACGCGUUGAAAUUCGAGAACAUUACGACACGGAAGUUGGAAGAUGGCGCGUAGGAUUUGAAAAAUUGUUGGCGGGCGAAUAUCGUCGGUGGAAUCGGAGUGGUUGCGGAAUAGGUUAUGUGCGUGGCGCGCGAGCUAAGCCAAUCGAGUUGCGCAAAAGAUAUGGUACAAGUGGAUGAGAGGAAGACGGUACCGACAGCUAUCGGGACGAAGAGGAUCGCCAGAAGAAAUUCUCAGUGGCGUAACGCCGACCUCCGUGUUCUCUCUGCUCGCUCCUGUUCCAGACCGUUUUCCCUUUAUACUCUCGAUGCCGGGGUCCCGAUAUCGCUGCUUCAUCGCGAUGCGCUCGUGUGCCGUCGCCUUGGUCGUCGCUAACCGUUGCCGCCGUGCCGCCGUGCCGCCGUGCAGCCGUGCCACCGCGAGGAAACGAGACGAGCGGUUAGAAAAGAAAGGAGGGACCGGGACAGGAUGAGAAAGGCGAGGAGAAGAGUUCUCCGAGAGUUCAUCGCUUAUUAUGUAAGCAACCUCGAAACGUAAGUGCACGGCGAUUGCUUGCAUACACGGAUACACGUAUACACGGAUACACGGAUACACGGAUACACGUAUACACGGAUACACGUAUACACGGAUACACGGAUCUACUAUGCGGUCUGCAUCCGUGUUCUGUUUCCUCGUACGGAGCGCAUCUUCUUUUCUGACUCGACGAAGAAAUAGGAGAAGAGGAAAAAAGGAGCGCGGCUCGGGAGUGGAAGGAUCGUUUUUCGUUUCUUCUGGACAAAGUCGACCACCAUAGAAAGGGGAAAAGCCACGACGACGCGUGAAAAAUCAGUUGGACAAACUUUCUCGCGAGCUCGGCGAACCCGCCGUCACGGACCGCUACCCUCUGGGAGUCACGCAGCCGUCCGGAAUAACCGAAGCUCUCCGGACGACCGUCGCAUCGGAAAUCCGUCGCGCGAAACCGAUGGAAUCGUGGAAUCCGAUGGAAAUGGCUGAACCAACGAACGCGGCGAAUAUUAAUUUUCUAACGAGGCAAAGAUCUAUCCGAACGCUGUACAACUACAACGACGAUCGAUAAUCAGAUAGAAAGAGUAGUUGCAGUUUUCUUACUCUUUUAAGAAACGGAUAUGGCUUCUAACGUGCAUCGGCCAGCUUACCUAGACGACCCGUUUAGAGGGUGUGACCCUGCCGAUCGAAAUCGUUGGUUCGUCGAACGUUCGCAAAGUAUCGAAGAAACGGAUCGAUGCAAGGAUCGUAGGAACACGGACGUGUAACGUUUCACGGUACAAGGAUGUCCGGAGGAGUUCGAUGUUGGCCGCGAAUGUUCGACGCGACGAUCAAACGGGUGUCCGAGUCCGUCUGAGAAAUCGUUGGAGAUUCCGUUCCGAUUGCGGGAAAAGAGGAAAAAGUUGUUCCGGAUCGUUUAAAGACGGACGAUCGAGGUGCUUCGUUUCAUCGGCUGGUGGCGGUUGGACGAAUUUUCACGGCCCCGUGAUCCCAUAUGGGAAUGGCCCGCGGUUUAAGAAGCCCCGACGCGGAGGACAGGAAAGAUAGACGAGGAGAGAAAAGUUUAGUAAUACACGUUGGUGUUGGCGCAAUCGAGGAAUUCCUCCUGUGAGUCGAAGGAAGGAAAUUGCGUUGCCCAAUUAGAAAUCGCGGGAGACCGCAGAAAGAAAGGCCAAGAGAGAGCGAGCGAUCUACGAGGAAGAAGGAGCGAGCAAAACCGCGGAGGGGCAGAGCGAGAGACGGAGGAAGGGAAAAAGGUUUCGAAACAUCGUACAUACUAAGUUGCCACGUUUGUACGAUUAUCUAAUUCCGUGUACCUUUUGCUCGUUCGAAUGCACGCGCACGCGCCUAGCCAUUUUCUCAAUUUCAUCGCCUAUACCGAUUCGUUCGGGUAGCGCGACUCGUAUCUUUUGUUCGAAUCUUGGAUCGAUCGUCGCUGUCGGCUAGAUUAAUAUCGACGCGAUAAAAAUUAAUCGCCGCCGUUUCUCUCUCUCUCUCUCUCGUUUACGUUCGGACGAUCGUCGUCUCGCGUAAUUCGCCGAUUUAGAUUUCGUUUCGAUGUCUCGAAUUCUCGCUCUCCCUCUCUUUAUUACACGUUAUUCGUACGCGAUUCGACUUUUACGGAACUUGACUACGAAAACGAAUCUUGUUCCGUCUCGAGUCGUCAACCUUUUCGUCUUUUACGAUGACCAUUCGUUCGAUGCAGCUUUUAAUUCUCCCAAUUUGCAUCUGAAAACGCUCGGUGACGAUUGAUGUUUCGAUGUUUAUUUCGUCGAAUGAUCGAGCGUACGAAAGAAAAGGGAAACGUAAACAUGAAAAUACCGCCUUAUCUCUCUUUGUCUUUUACGCGAUAAGCCUUACAAGAUUAGAGUUGAAAUAUCUUUUAAAUUAAUCGUCUUUCGACUCGAGUGCCUGAACACCUUUUUCUAGACGAUGAAAAAAUGCAUCGACGCGAAAUUGAUAGGAGCACUGUCCAAAGAGCCACGUACGAUGCCAGUAAAUCGAUAGAUUUGCGAUAAAUUUACAAAAAAAAAAUGUUUUAAACAUUUACGUAGAACGGUAUAGGCGGAAGAAAUUUAUUAACGAUAUGGAACGAUCGACAUUGUCCUUUGUAUAAUAUACAGUAACGCGCGAUGACACUCUUAACGUUUCAAGGAUGAAAAUAUCUAUUAUUAAUCCCGCGAGAUACAAAAAACAAUGAUAUAUCCUUAUCGCGUAUUAUAUAGCUGGCGUUAUCGCGUUCUUAAAAAGAAAGAAAUUUCUCUUGCGAUGUAAUUUUUCAUCGGACGAACAAAAGUUGGACGAAUGGACGUUACAACGACAUUGUCUAAUCUUCAAGCGAUAUCCGUACGUUACCUCUACGUAUUAAAAUAGCAAGCGAUUAUGAACGACGUUCUAUCGGAUAUCGGAACGAAUGGAUAUUUCGGACUGAAAUCGUCGAUCUUGCCGGAACAACCGGUCGUGUAUAUAUAUAAAAAUAUAUAAAAAUUUGUAAAUGCGUAAAUUCGUGGUUUACGCGUUUAUCGAUCGCGAAUGAUCUAUUUAUGGACGAGUCGCGGAUUUAAAGUAACUCGAUAAAAAGAAAUAUUACGCGACGAGCGCAUCUUCCAAGGACCGUAUCUGGUCGAGAGAUUCGAGGCUUUCACAGGUCCGAUCGUCGUACAUACUCGACAGCUGUUGGAGACUGUCGGCUAGAAGCUGCGUCCAACGGGAAUUUCCGUCCGGCGUUUCGCCGGUGUUACAGCCAUCUUCCUCGGGGUCUAAAAACGCAGGUACAUACACGGUUAACGCCGAUCGGCAUUAAGCGCGUACUCGAUCAAACCACGAGGUCGUAGACCCCGUAACGAUGAUCGUUGCACGUAAAAUCUGUUACUCUUUCGAACCCACCGUGCCGCGGGCCCGGCUUACGAGCGUUACCGUCGAAAAAGCGUACAAGUUCGAGUGAACGAAGCGGGCGUUAAUUCCGCGAGUACGAUGCGCUCGAAUGCUAAAUGCUCUUGCUCCGCAAACGGGAGAACGGAUGAUGGAAACUAGUCUCUGGGAUUCACCGAGUUCCUCCUCCGAUCCACGGCUCUCCUUCUCUUUCUACUCGUACAGCCGCUCUUCCACCUUCUCCUUCUGUGUUCUUAAGCGAUUACGCCACGGCGUCUCUCACCUCCGUCUAAUCCUGUAUUAUAAUGUACGGCGCACGCUCAUACACACACACACACGCGCGCGCGCACAAAUGUUAGAAACGAGGCGACUAUCGAACAAAACGGAAUGGAAAAAAUCAAAGUUGAAGGAGAAGUGGAAGUGAAACGAAACUGUAAGUGGGAAGACGGAAGAAACGGAGCGAAAGAAAGGGGAGGCGAGGAAAGAUCGGGAGAAUGGAAAGGUAGAACGAUCGAUCGAGGGAAGAAAGAAGAGGAGAGUGGCGAAAACAAAGGGAAAGGGGUGUGCGGAAAAGGCGAAGAACGAGGAUAAUAAUAUCGAGUAAAUAAAGUAGGAAGCGCGGAGAGCAAAACGAGACGGCGAAGAGGAGGAAAGGAGAGACAGAGGAAGAAGAGAAGGGACCUUUGGACGAUGGAGGGGAUCGACGUCGUUUCAGUCGUCCUCCCGGAUGUGCAGCAUCAUUACACGGCAUUCUUCGAGGCUGCAAGAUCUCCCUUUCUUUCUUCCUUCGGCCGAUGCGUUGACGUAACCGCGACAAAGCAAAUUCCUCUUCCCAAGACGCGAAACGCUCGGAAUUCUGAUCGGUCUGGUUUCAACCGUGUACUCCGAACGGCUUUUCCAACCAAGAGUAUUUUCAAAACCACCGAUUCUCUCGUACGCGUGACUUUGUACGUUUCCAAGCGAGCCUUCGAAUCUGUAAAACUGAGCGACUUUGAAUCUGUAAAAAACGUUGUUACGCGUAUUUGUUCAAAAGCUGGAACAAAUUUCAUCUUUGGUUCGAUCGGGUCUGAAGCCCGAGUUAGUGGAAUCGACGAUAGGCCAAGUCGGUCUCGGUAGUCCAAUCGUUUUUGGUUUCUUUCGCGUUUCUUUGAUUUUCGUUGCAAUUCGCUUUCCCUGCCGAUUGCUCCAAUUUUCUACCAUGUACGCGCACGACCCUCUCGCCAAUCUGCCUCCUAAUACGCUAUUUAUAUUCUUCUUCCAUUUGUCAUUUCCUCUCUCCACGAUACUUUAUAUCGCAAGACGUAUAAGACACGAGUGAUUUUGCCAAAUAUCGGCGGAUAUCGCGAUACCUGUGGUUAGCGGCGUAAUCUCGUGUAGAAAU
rnacentral:lncRNA from 1 species